ensembl:lncRNA
GUGAGGGUGAGGGGAGCCCGGUGAGGGUGAGGCGAGCCCGGUGAGGGUGAGGAGGGUGAGUGAGGCCGGUGAGGUGAAGCCGGUGAGGGUGAGGCGAGCCCGGUGAGGGUGAGGUGAGCCCGGUGAGGGUGAGGGGAGCCCGAUGAGGGUGAGGGGAGCCCGGUGAGGGUGAGGCGAGCCCGGUGAGGGUGAGGCGAGCCCGGUGAGUGCCGGGCCCGACCGGCGGCUCUGGGGAAGGCGGAUUCGGGGAUGGCUCAUCCCGGGAACGGGAAUCCUGGAGGAGCCUUUGGAACGCGAUCUGGCCCCGGCAAUGAAGGGCCUUGGGUGCCUCCCGACAUUCUGUUCAUUGUCCCGGUUUUACUGCCCGAGGAUCCCGAAAAACAGGGGAGGCGUUAAAAGAAUGGAUCCUGGGGAGUCCUAAUUCAUUGUUAAAUGUUAAUGUUGUUAAUUGAUUCAUAAUUCCACGGGGGAGGGGUUGGUGCCCUCACUCCGUGUCUCUUCUCCCUAAAUCUCUGUUUUUAUCCUGGCAUUUCUCUGUAUUGAUGGAGCGGCGUUCCCUGAUUUCCCUUCCUGGGAAUUCAGCUCCACUGGAGGUUUGGGGAUUGUGAGCACAAAAAUGGGCACGAAAAUGGCAUUUUCAUGAUUUUCCCAUCCAGUGGGAGCAGUUUGGGAAAGGAAAAUCCCCCGUGGAAUUUCUGCCCUUGCCGGGAUCUCCAUUAGGACGUGAAAUCCUCAUCCCUUCCUCCACCAAAUCCCUAAUUUUGGUUAAAAUGAGCUUCAGGACUGGGCAGGAGCGGUGGGUUUGUCACCCCUCAGCCCAAAACCUCCCCAGGAAGGGAAAAUUCCCAGCCUGAAAGCUGAAAUAUUCCCCAAAUUCCCACAUUUUCCUGGAAAACACAUCCCUGAGCCAAUUCUUCCCUUUUUUUCCCCAGGCUGGCGGAGCGGCCGGAGCCGAUCCCGGCUGGGAACAGCGCCGUGAUGGAGCCGGGGAAAAAUGCAGCUCUGGAUGAAUGGGACGCACAAAUCCGGAAAUUACCGGAGGAAUUUGGUGAGUCCUUCACCCCGACCCAGCAGCAGACACCGGUGGAGACAAACAAGUUUCUGUUUUUCUAUGCAUUUCAUUUAAUUUUUUGUUUUCUCCUAAAGAAAGUGACACUGACCUGGAGGAAUGCGACACGGAGAAUGGUGAGUUCCAAAUUCCUAAAUCAUGGAAAAAUUGUUGUCAUUAAAGUGCAAAUUCUCCUAAAGAAGAGAAGUAUUGUUACUAAAAAUAUAAAUAAUAGAAGAGGAAAGCCCUAA